AACGAACGCUGGCGGCAUGCCUAACACAUGCAAGUCGAACGAGACCUUCGGGUCUAGUGGCGCACGGGUGCGUAACGCGUGGGAACCUGCCCUUAGGUUCGGAAUAACUCCCCGAAAGGGGUGCUAAUACCGGAUAAUGUCUUCGGACCAAAGAUUUAUCGCCUUUGGAUGUGCCCGAGUUGGAUUAGCUUGUUGGUAGGGUAAAAGCCUACCAAGGCGACGAUCCAUAGCUGGUCUGAGAGGAUGAUCAGCCACACUGGGACUGAGACACGGCCCAGAAUCCUACGGGAGGCAGCAGUGGGGAAUAUUGGACAAUGGGCGAAAGGCUGAUCCAGCAAUGCCGCGUGAGUGAUGAAGGCCUUAGGGUUGUAAAGCUCUUUUAACCGGGAUGAUAAUGACAGUACCGGGAGAAUAAGCUCCGGCUAACUCCGUG
rnacentral:rRNA from 1 species